UAUUGGCUAAGCAAGUCUCAAGAGUUGAUGAAGUAGACUCUAUCUCUUGAUGAACUACAAAGGAACGUCUGAAAGGUUGUAGAUAUGGGGAGAGGUGAACCAUUAUGGCCAUUGUACUCAAUCCACUAUUUUGAAAAAGGAUGGAACUGGGACUAGGACCCUGUUUCGUGCCUCCAGAUCAGGCUGGAGUGAUCACUGGGAAACCACAUCCAACUGACCUGUGGAAAACAGCGUGCCUAGCAUUGUACAGAAGAGAGAGGACCUUCUGGGAACCGGCAAAGGGCUCCUGGGAUGGUGGGAGAGGUCAGUGUGUCAGGCUAAGGAGGGUACAUGGAGAACUAAGCGCGCUGGACCGCCGGGGCUCACAGAGACGGUCAGUCUGCCUUGUACAGUUCCAGCCUUCUUUAUAUGCCUUAUUGGGCUGAGUGGGGCCCAGGAGCAGCCGAGACCUCGGCAGCCGGGGGAGUGACGGUGGGUGGGAUGUUGCAGGCUCUGAGUGGGAAGAAAAUCCACCUCCUGCCCCAACCUUUUCCCACCCUGCCCCAUUCACAGUUUUCUUCCUCGAAUCUAUUUAUGCUUAAAAAAACUCUAGCAAGCAGGCUUAUCAAUUAAACAACGAUUGUCUAUACUUCACUUCUAGAAGAGGAGUAAGUUAUAAGGAAAUGAUAUUGCAGAUAAUUUAAAAAGUAAUGAUGAGAAUAUGACCUUAGGUCAGUAUGAAUUCAUUUUUUACAAAACACAUUUAUUGAGAUAUAAUUCAUAUACCAAAAAUUUCACCCGUUUAAAGUGUACAGUUCACUGUUUUUUAAUAAAUUCACAAGGUUAUGUGACA
rnacentral:lncRNA from 1 species